UACGGGGGGAGCAAGCGUUGUUCGGAUUUACUGGGCGUAAAGGGCGCGUAGGCGGCCACCGCAAGUCGACUGUGAAAUCUCCGGGCUUAACCCGGAAAGGUCAGCCGAUACUGCGGGGCUAGAGUGCAGAAGGGGCAACUGGAAUUCUCGGUGUAGCGGUGAAAUGCGUAGAUAUCAGGAGGAACACCGGUGGCGAAGGCGGCUACCUGGACAGAAACUGACGCUGAGGCGCGAAAGCUAGGGGAGCAAACAGG
rnacentral:rRNA from 1 species